rnacentral:rRNA from 1 species
AUGGGGGAGCAGGAGAAACGUCCUUGGAUUAUUAAUGGGGACUUCAACCUUGUCAGACACGAGGACGAGAGAAGCACAGGAAGGGUCAACAGAAGAUUGACGAACAAGUUCAGGCAUACUAUUAACAAGCUGGGGCUUCAUGAGAUGCCUCUAGUGGGAAGAAAAUUCACUUGGUGCAAUGGGCAGGAGAGAAACAUCUUGGCAAAACUUGACAGGGUGUUGUUCAACAAUUCAUGGGAGGACUUGUACCCCAUUAGCGACCUUCUACCUUUGAGCUCAAAUGUUUCAGACCACUGCCCUAUGCUGCUUUCAUGCUCUCUAGACAGGCCGAGGGCUUUCAGAUUCAGGUUCGAGAAUUUUUGGUGCAAACUGUCGGGUUUUCUCGAGGUGGUGAAAACAGCUUGGGAAGAGGAGGUUUCCAGCACCAAUCCAAUGCAUGUUCUCAACACAAAGCUUCAUCGCACAGCCAAAGCGCUCCGGAGUUGGGGUCAGAGAAAUCAGAGUGCAAUGAACAUUCAGUUUCAGAUCGCCAACGAAAUGAUCCUUCGCUUGGACACUGCACAGGAGUCACGACAAUUGUCCGCUGAAGAAAGAAAGUUGAGAGCCUUUUUGAAAGGCAAGUUCCUGGCUCUAGCAUCCUUGGAAAGGAUUCGUUUGAGACAGAGAGCCAAAAUUAGAGAUUUGAGAGAGGGGGAUGCUAACUCCAAGUACUUCCACCUCAAAGCUAAUGGACGCAGAAGGAAGCACCUCAUCCCAUGCCUUCAAGCUAGAGACCGGAUGGCGUCCUCUAUGGAGGAGAAACUGGAUAUGGUGCACGAUUUCUACCGAAAUCUGCUUGGUGUCCCAGCUGCUAGACACAAGAUCUUGAAGUUAGAUUGUCUCGGCCUUGGAAAGAUAUCUACGGCAGUGGCACGUGACUUGGAGGCUCCUUUUUCCAGUGAGGAGAUCAAAAAGGUGGUGAAUGACAUGCCCCCAGAUCGGGCACCGGGACCGGAUGGAUUUUUUGGUCUUUUCUAUAAGACUUGCUGGGAGAUCAUUGAACAUGACUUUAUGGCAGUUAUGGAGGCACUGCAACAGGGUCAUUUCUCUUCCUUUGGUGGGCUGAACACAUCCAUCCUCACUCUGUUUCCUAAGAAAGUAGAUUCAAUGCAGAUCACUAAUUUCAGGCCUAUCAAUUUAAUUCACGGCGUGGCCAAAAUCUUCGGCAAGGUGCUGGCGAUCCGUUUGGCCCCGGUGCUGCCCGGGAUCAUAUCCAGUGUGCAAAGCGCUUUUGUUUCAGAGAGAAGCAUCCAUGAGAACUUCAAAUUGGUAAGAAACGCGGCCAGAACAUUACAUUGGAAGAAGAAACAGUCGGUUUUAAUGAAGAUCGAUAUAUCCAAGGCGUUUGACUAUCUCUCUUGGGAAUUUCUCUUGGAUAUAUUGAAGGCCAGAGGCUUUGGUAGAAAGUGGUGUUCCUGA